rnacentral:rRNA from 1 species
AACAUGCCCAGGGGACGUGGAUAACCUCGGGAAACUGAGGAUAAACCGCGAUAGGCCAUGAUUUCUGGAAUGGUUCAUGGCCGAAAUCUAUAUGGCCCCUGGAUUGGACUGCGGCCGAUCAGGCUGUUGGUGAGGUAAUGGCCCACCAAACCUGUAACCGGUACGGGCUCUGAGAGGAGGAGCCCGGAGAUGGGCACUGAGACAAGGGCCCAGGCCCUAUGGGGCGCAGCAGGCGCGAAAUCUCUGCAAUAGGCGAAAGCUUGACAGGGUUACUCUGAGUGAUUCCCGCUAAGGGGAUCUUUUGGCACCUUUAAAAAUGGUGCAGAAUAAGGGGUGGGCAAGUCUGGUGCCAGCAGCCGCGG